AGAGAGAACCCUUCCUCCGGGGAGGUUACAGUGAGAAGAUAGCCUACGAGGAAGUGGGCCCUCAUCAGACACUGAAACUGCUGGUGUCUUGGUCUUAGACUUCCCAGCCUCCGGAACUUGGAUGGAAACGCAGGACCCAAUCAAAGGCUCUAUGGCUUUGGAUAACACAGCAACUAGACAGAAGGAAACUUGGUACCUGAAUGGCUGUGUGGAGCAAUCUCUCUCACUCCCCUGCCCACCUCUAUUGGACUGUGAUACAAGAUUGGACUGUGAACAAGAAAUAAACAUUAUGAUGUUUAAUCCUAAGAUUUGAGAUUUGUUUAUUAGAGCAAUCAGGCUACUCUGUUGUAAAUUGAUUGCAAAAUUUCCUCCAAUUAUUUCUCUUCCAUACAAUGUGAUUUAGCAGUUUCUUCCAUCAAGUGGUGGUGUUUAUUUUCCAUUCCUUGGACCUAGGUUUGGCCAUGUGUCUUGAACUGGCACAUGAAAUGUAGCAGAAGUGACAGAGCCAGUUCCAAGCCUAGGCCUCAAGAGACCUUGCAGGCUUUUGCUUACUCUUUGAGAUCUCAGACUCCACCACGCGAAGAAGCCAGACUAGUCUGCUGAAGGUUGAGAAACAACAUGGAGAAGAGCGAAUUGUCCAAGCAGACCAGAAGUUAAUAAAUCAAGCCAAGCUGAAUCAACCAAACUCAGACCAGAUCAGCAGAACUUCCGAGCCAGCCAAUCCAUAGAUUUAUGAAAAAUAAUAAGUGGUUGUUUUAUGUCACUAAGUUUUGGAGUUCUUUGUUACACAGCAAGAAAUAACUAAUAUGCCU
rnacentral:lncRNA from 1 species